UACGAAGGGGGCUAGCGUUGCUCGGAAUCAUUGGGCGUAAAGGGCGCGUAGGCGGCGGGGUAAGUCUGGUGUGAAAUCUCGGAGCUCAACUCCGAAAUUGCACUGGAUACUGCUCUGCUAGAGGGCUGGAGAGGAGAUCGGAAUUCACGGUGUAGCAGUGAAAUGCGUAGAUAUCGUGAGGAAGACCAGUGGCGAAGGCGGAUCUCUGGACAGCUCCUGACGCUGAGGCGCGAAGGCUAGGGGAGCAAACGGG
rnacentral:rRNA from 1 species